AAAUUUAGCAACAAGAUUACAAACAGUUCGAAAACAACUGAAUAAGGACGCAAAGACUCAUCUUUACAUAGGAACCCUAAUCGAUCAACAACCUCUUGCUAAGAAUUACACCAGAAUACUUAGUUCUAUAUCAACCUCCAUAAAACAAUCGAAUCACACAGAUUCGCUACAAUUUUCACUAAUAAAUACACCACAUAUCUAGAUCUAAAGUAUCACACAGAGAUUAAAACGUCUAACCACUUAGAUCGCUCUAAUAUUUGAAACCCUAAUGGGAAAGGGGUUUUCU
rnacentral:lncRNA from 1 species